UUUGAAGAUGGAGCCAAUGUCCCUGGUCUGCCCCUGCCUCGGCCUCCCCCACCACCUCUGGCAUCCAUACCUGCGGUGGGUGCUGUAACGGCAUCUGGGCUUUGUCAUCUCCUUUGCAGAACAUCGUAGCUGUGGGAGCUGGGUUCUGCGACGGCCUCCGCUGUGGAGACAACACCAAAGCGGCCGUCAUCCGCCUGGGACUCAUGGAAAUGAUUGCUUUUGCCAGGAUCUUCUGCAAAGGCCAAGUGUCUACAGCCACCUUCCUAGAGAGCUGCGGGGUGGCCGACCUGAUCACCACCUGUUACGGAGGGCGGAACCGCAGGGUGGCCGAGGCCUUCGCCAGAACUGGGAAGACCAUUGAAGAGUUGGAGAAGGAGAUGCUGAAUGGGCAAAAGCUCCAAGGACCGCAGACUUCUGCUGAAGUGUACCGCAUCCUCAAACAGAAGGGACUACUGGACAAGUUUCCAUUGUUUACUGCAGUGUAUCAGAUCUGCUACGAAAGCAGACCAGUUCAAGAGAUGUUGUCUUGUCUUCA
rnacentral:sRNA from 1 species